rnacentral:rRNA from 1 species
UACGAAGGGGGCUAGCGUUGCUCGGAAUCACUGGGCGUAAAGGGUGCGUAGGCGGGUCUUUAAGUCAGGGGUGAAAUCCUGGAGCUCAACUCCAGAACUGCCUUUGAUACUGAGGAUCUUGAGUUCGGGAGAGGUGAGUGGAACUGCGAGUGUAGAGGUGAAAUUCGUAGAUAUUCGCAAGAACACCAAUGGCGAAGGCAGCUCUCUGGUACGUGACUGACACUGAGACGCGAAAGCGUGGGGAGCGAACAGG